rnacentral:rRNA from 1 species
UACAGAGGGUGCGAGCGUUAAUCGGAAUUACUGGGCGUAAAGCGUGCGUAGACGGUUAUUUAAGUCAGAUGUGAAAGCCCCGGGCUCAACCUGGGAAUUGCAUUUGAGACUGAAUAGCUAGGGUGCGGUAGAGGGAAGCGGAAUUUCCGGUGUAGCGGUGAAAUGCGUAGAUAUCGGAAGGAACAUCAGUGGCGAAAGCGGCUUCCUGGACCAGCACCGACGUUCAGGCACGAAAGCGUGGGGAGCAAACAGG